UCCGAAUUGGUGUAGUGGCUAACAUUUGACGCUCUCACGAUAACAACGUGUGCCGUCAAGCCCGGGGUUCGAUUCCCCGAUUCGGAG
rnacentral:tRNA from 1 species